rnacentral:rRNA from 1 species
ACACUCCUGCGGGAGGCAGCAGUGGGGAAUUUUGGACAAUGGGCGAAAGCCUGAUCCAGCAAUGCCGCGUGAGUGAAGAAGGCCUUCGGGUUGUAAAGCUCUUUUGUCAGGGAAGAAACGGUGAGAGCUAAUAUCUUUUGCUAAUGACGGUACCUGAAGAAUAAGCACCGGCUAACUACGUGCCAGCAGCCGCGGUAAUACGUAGGGUGCAAGCGUUAAUCGGAAUUACUGGGCGUAAAGCGUGCGCAGGCGGUUUUGUAAGUCUGAUGUGAAAUCCCCGGGCUCAACCUGGGAAUUGCAUUGGAGACUGCAAGACUAGAAUCUGGCAGAGGGGGGUAGAAUUCCACGUGUAGCAGUGAAAUGCGUAGAUAUGUGGAGGAACACCGAUGGCGAAGGCGGCCCCCUGGGUCAAGAUUGACGCUCAUGCACGAAAGCGUGGGGAGCAAACAGGAUUAGAUACCCCAGUAGUCC